CUGCAAUACAAUGGUAAUAACAAAUCCUUUGAGUAUUUUAUAUACUCAUUCAGUAUAUUAUCUUUAGGUGAACAUGCUUUGUUAUUUUUUAAAGUUUUAAUAACUUUGUCAAUUUCUAAAGUAGUGAAUGGGCAAUUUAAUAUAUCAUUAAAUUCUGAAAUUGAUUCAGUAUCAAAUGCUGUAAAUAAAUCUUCACCCAGCAAACACAUGACGUUAAAAUAACGUCAGAUUACCGUUAGAUUUUGGUCACGACGUCGGCGACCAAAAUACGACGUAAAUCUGACGUCCAAAAACCGAUGUAUAUUAGACGUUUCUUUUUGACGUCGUACUAACGUCAGGUUCUGGUCGGUGUCCUGACAGUAGGUAAAAAAUUAACAAAAAAAUAAUCCUAAUUCGCUGUUGUAAUCAUUUAAACUUUUUUUCAAAUGUUAUUUGGCUUACAAAUUAAGUGUAUAUAUAUACAAGUGCCUUUCGAAGACCACGUGCGCGGCGCUGCAACCUAAUAAAACAUAUAGGUGGCGCUGUAUAUAGGCAAGUUACAUGUGUUUUUGUUAUGAAAUCUAUUUAUAGCCACAGAUCUGUUUACGAGUUCCAAUCAUUUAACGUUAUAAUAUUAUCAUUUGUGGUACAUUAUAUGUAUCAAAAUCAUGAGUUUUUAAUAGUGCUUUAAUAUUUAAUCAUAGUGACAGGAAAAGGAAAGAAAACAUAAUUAUAAUUCGAAUCUACAGCCACGUGGAUGGAAAAUUCAAAUUCGUAGGCGUUUCGUAUGUCAGGAAUCGGGAUGCAUUGAUAAAGUGAAUAUUCCAGAUUUUCUUGAACAAAAAGGAAGUUCAAGCGUUUGACAUGCUCACAAAGGUCGGAGGGGCAGAAAUACGUGAUAAUGUAAAAAGAAACAUGAAUCAUGGGAAAUGAAAAUGAUAUCACAAACGCCAUUGGACAUUAACAUGUUACAUCCUCCGGACUGACGAGAGGUAGUGAGGGAAGGUCAUAUAUCUAAAUGCAUCAAACCUUCAAAUUCGUGCUAAUUCUCGUGGAUAUUUAAAAGUAUAACUUUGUGAAGUAACUAAAAGGAAGUAAUUUACACGUUAGUGACAAUUAUCAAAAGGAGGUCAAAAUAUGAAAAAUACCACUAAAUGUUUUAGUAAUGCUGUAGAAAUAUAGUUAAAAUACUGAAUAUCUGUCAUUAACUGCUUGAAACAUUAUUAUCCGAAUCUUUUAACUUUUCUUAAAAUUAUAAUAUUUUCAUUAUUUUGUUUGAUAAGGCAAACUUUUAUAGAUACAUUGUUUUGUUCUUUAAUAUUUGUAUAUAAUUUCUUAGUUUCAUUUAUGCCAUUGUUUUUGUAAUACUUUUUGUUUUGUUAUUAACUUAUUUUAUGUUUUAUUUGGUUUAGUUUAUGAAAAGUAUU